UCUCGGUUUAAGGGGAAAGAAGCCACAGUGUCCCGUUCCAAAUAAGAGCGGCACCUCGACGGUUAGCUUACCAGGAAAGUCACGGCUAAACUACGUGUCAGCAGCCCGCGGUUAAUACGGUAAGGGUGGGCAAAGCGUGGUCUCGGAAAUUUAUUUGGGGCGUUAAAGGGGCUCGGCAGGGCGGGUUUUCUUUAAAGUCUGAUGUGAAAAGCCCCCCGGGCUCUAACCCGGGGGAGGGGUCAUUGGGAAAACUGGGGAAACUUGAGUGCAGAAGAGGAGAGUGGAAUUUCUCACGUGUAGCGGUGAAAUGCGUAGAGAUGUGGAGGGAACACCAGUGGCGAAGGCGACUCUCUGGUCUGUAACUGACGCUGAGGAGCGAAAGCGUGGGGAGCGAACAGGAUUAGAUACCCUGGUAGUCCACGCCGUAAACGAUGAGUGCUAAGUGUUAGGGGGUUUCCGCCCCUUAGUGCUGCAGCUAACGCAUUAAGCACUCCGCCUGGGGAGUACGGUCGCAAGACUGAAACUCAAAGGAAUUGACGGGGGCCCGCACAAGCGGUGGAGCAUGUGGUUUAAUUUGAAGCAACGCGAAGAACCUUACCAGGUCUUGACAUCCUUUGACAAUCCUAGAGAUAGGACGUCCCCUUCGGGGGCAGAGUGACAGGUGGUGCAUGGUUGUCGUCAGCUCGUGUCGUGAGAUGUUGGGUUAAGUCCCGCAACGAGCGCAACCCUUGAUUUUAGUUGCCAGCAUUCAGUUGGGCACUCUAAGGUGACUGCCGGUGACAAACCGGAGGAAGGUGGGGAUGACGUCAAAUCAUCAUGCCCCUUAUGACCUGGGCUACACACGUGCUACAAUGGGCAGAACAAAGGGCAGCGAAACCGCGAGGUUAAGCCAAUCCCACAAAUCUGUUCUCAGUUCGGAUCGCAGUCUGCAACUCGACUGCGUGAAGCUGGAAUCGCUAGUAAUCGCGGAUCAGCAUGCCGCGGUGAAUACGUUCCCGGGCCUUGUACACACCGCCCGUCACACCACGAGAGUUUGUAACACCCGAAGUCGGUGAGGUAACCUUUUAUGGAGCCCAGCCGCCCCGAAAAGUUGAAAC
rnacentral:rRNA from 1 species